GCGGCGGACGGGUGAGUAACGCGUGGCUAACCUACCCUCUUGACGGGCACAACCACCCGAAAGGGCGGCUAAUUCCCGAUAUUGACUGGAACCGAUGGGUUCCUUUCCAAAGGCGGUCCUGCCGCCGCAAGAGGAUGGGGCUGCGUCCUAUUAGCUAGUUGGUGAGGUAACGGCCCACCAAGGCUUCGAUGGGUAGCUGGUCUGAGAGGACGGCCAGCCACAUUGGGACUGAGACACGGCCCAGACUCCUACGGGAGGCAGCAGUGGGGAAUCUUGGCCAAUGGACGAAAGUCUGAGCCAGCGACACCGCGUGGGGGAUGAAGGCCUUCGGGUUGUAAACCUCUUUUCUGGGGAAAGAAUAAGGACGGGAGGAAAUGCCCGCCCGAUGACGGUACUCCAGGAAUAAGCAUCGGCUAACUCUGUGCCAGCAGCCGCGGUAAGACAGAGGAUGCAAGCGUUAUCCGGAAUUACUGGGCGUAAAGGGCGUCUAGGCGGUUCGGUAAGUCGUUUGUGAAAUCCCUCGGCUCAACCGAGGAGAGUCUUGCGAUACUGCCGGGCUUGGGUGCAGGAGAGGAGGGUGGAACUCACAGAGUAGCGGUGGAAUGCGUAGAUACUGUGAGGUACCCCGAUGCGAAGGCAACCCUCUGGCCUGCUACCGACGCUGAAGCGCGAAAGCGUGGGGAGCAAAGGGGAUUGGAUACCCCCGUAGUCCACGCCCUAAACAAUGUUCACUUGGUGUCGGCCGCUUAUACUGGUCGGUGCCGAAGCUAACGCGUUAAGUGAACCGCCUGAGGAGUACGGCCGCAAGGCUAAAACUCGAGAGAAUUGACGGGUCCCUGCACAAGCGGUGGAGCACGUGGUUUAAUUCGAUGAUAAACGAAGAACCUCACCCAGGCUUGACAUACUAGUGGUAGGAACCUGAAAGGGGGACGACUCUGCCUUCGGGUAGAGAGCUAGUACAGGUGAUGCAUGGCUGUCGUCAGCUCGUGUCGUGGGAUGUUGGGUUCAGUCCCGAAACGAGCGCAACCCUUGUCGUUAGUUGCCAGCGGGUAAUGCCGGGGACUCUAACGAGACUGCUGGUGAAUAGCCGGAGGAAGGCGGGGAUGACGUCAAGUCAUCAUGUCCCUUACGCCUGGGGCGACACACAUGCUACAAUGGGGGGUACAGAGGGUCGCAAUCCCGUAAGGGGGAGCCAAUCCAUAAAAGCCCCUCCCAGUUCGGAUUGAGGUCUGCAACUCGACCUCAUGAAGCCGGAAUCGCUAGUAAUCGCGGGUCAGCCAUACCGCGGUGAAUAUGUACUCAGGGAUUGUACACACCGCCCGUCACACCAACCGAGUGGGGGGUACCUGAAGUCGCUCUUCUAAGAGCGCCUAGGGUAACUUCCGCAAGAGG
rnacentral:rRNA from 1 species